rnacentral:rRNA from 1 species
GACGAACGCUGGCGGCGUGCCUAAUACAUGCAAGUUGAGCGAUGAAGAUUGGUGCUUGCACCAAUUUGAAGAGCAGCGAACGGGUGAGUAACGCGUGGGGAAUCUGCCUUUGAGCGGGGGACAACAGUUGGAAACGAAUGCUAAUACCGCAUAACAACUUUAAACAUAAGUUUUAAGUUUGAAAGAUGCAAUUGCAUCACUCAAAGAUGAUCCCGCGUUGUAUUAGCUAGUUGGUGAGGUAAAGGCUCACCAAGGCGAUGAUACAUAGCCGACCUGAGAGGGUGAUCGGCCACAUUGGGACUGGGACACGGCCCAAACUCCUACGGGAGGCAGCAGUAGGGAAUCUUCGGCAAUGGACGAAAGUCUGACCGAGCAACGCCGCGUGAGUGAAGAAGGUUUUCGGAUCGUAAAACUCUGUUGGUAGAGAAGAACGUUGGUGAGAGUGGAAAGCUCAUCAAGUGACGGUAACUACCCAGAAAGGGACGGCUAACUACGUG